CUCGAAGCUUCUUAAUUCGGCCUUUGCCAAAGUCUCUGAAGGGGAACACGUGACAGUCCACAUCGUCAGCCAAAGCCUUGGCAACAGCUAGAGAGCUACACACUUGGGCGUGAACCUGAAAAUGCCACAGAGACACGAGUGGCGAGUUGGAUGACAGCGUUGGAAAGUUUUCCAGUAAUACCUCUGGUGUGAUGUCCCAGAUAAGCCUCUGGGGGUGAGGUAAUGAGCGAUCCACUUCACCCUUACAGUGGCCAUCCUCAGUGUAUCCCAGAUGGAAGGCAUCCGUGGCUAGCGUGAACUGAAAAUCCAUUCACAGAAAGUCAAAUUAGGUUCACCUAUGAGGGUGGAAAAAGGAAAUGGACUUUCGGCAGUUUGCAAACACAUUCGAUUAAGGCUGCGUUAGACACAUAUAAUCAUAUCGAUAUCAUUUCUAGUAGUAGUGUGGUGAUUAAUAAGUGGAAAGGAAUGUGCAGACAAACUCGUCUUUGUGGUCCAGACACCUGCGCUGAGCACGAGGAGGAGAUGACCAUCAACCAUCGACCCAUCACCAAACAAUAUUUUCCAUGCUUGAAUAUUCAUAUUGUGUUUCUUUAAAACUGGGCAACCCGGAAGAAUGUGUUGUCUUCGAUUGUCACGAAGGCACACGAGUUUUUUGUGUUAAGGACCCGAGACCCAGGCGCCUGUAUUAGCUUGCCUUGGUAAAUUGGGCCUAAUUGAUCUCCUGGUCUUCUCUUUGACAGAACCAACUCGCAAAAUUGUUAGGUGGGACAGUGUGUGGAUUUGGACAUAACAAUUCUUGUGUUAAGUGUUGAUCACAAUUUGGAGUCAGAUCAAUAACUAAAAUCCGUAGCCUAACAAAGUGCAUUUGAAAGAAAUGUCACACGGUGAUGGACGAGCCACCACCAUUGCUCUGUGGUAGGCACAAAAUGUCGAUGUUUUUUUUUUUUUGUUUAAUUUUACAUUUGUUUUCAAACGGAAAUGUGCACAUGUUGAUUCUGGUGUAAAACAAAUUUUUGCUUCGUUUGCGUGUUUAGGCAGCAGAUGGCUUCAAUCUGAGGCUUAGCAACAGUGGCGAUGAAAUAAUGAUGAUCGUUUGAAAACAACUGUGUGUGUGGGUGGUGGGCGGGUCAUGAUUACAUCUUUGUUAAAAGGGUGAGAACGCAAUACAAAUGUGCAUUCCUUGAACGCGGCCAAGCAACAGUCUUCCGGUAUUGAUUUGAUCGAGUGAGAGUGGAACGCACGCACCUCCCACAGGUGAGCCACGGUUGGUGCAUCAGCCCAAGAGUGUUCAGCGUUCAGUCCAUUCUUCCCAUUUUGGUAGAUCACCACCGAAAAUGAUUUAUCAUACCACCUAGGGGGGGAAAAAAAAAAAAUCAAAGACGGACACAAAUAAUGUAACAUUCAGUUUGAUCCUCACCUGUCGUAACAUUUGCCGUGAAGCAACGACUUGGCGUAUCGGUCCAAAUUCCCCGCCGGGUCGUUUCCUCUCAUACCUUGCUCUUCGUCGUCCAAGGUCACGAAGAAAGCUGCCUUUUCGAUGGCAUCUAAGGAUCGCUUGUUGACGCCGGAGCUGAAGUACUGCGUUCGCACCUGAGACCAAGGAAUCCUGGAAAUAAAUUGGAGAACGCUUUGGACCUAGCAACAAACCAAAUCAUGGCCAUAUGCUUUCAAAUAGAAAGUGUAGAUGCAAUACAAUAAAGAAAAUGUACCGUAA